GCCUGCAUGGUGUAGUGGUUUGAGCAUUGGACUUUGACUCUGGAUGCUAGGGUUGAAUUCCCUACUCAGCUA